UUUCGGGCCCUCUGGUGUCUUUGAGCCGGGCCCGGGGGAUCGGGGAGUUUCAAAGGCCACAACCUGAAAGACUGGUCUUUGAGAAGGCUUUGAGAGACCGAACAGCUGACACUGGGCGGCGGCGGCCCGAGGCGGCGGCGGAGGGGGGACGCGGGGGGGCCGGGAGGGGGGGACACACGACCUGGAGGAAGGCCUGGCCGUGGGAUGGCCCGCCAGGAGGGCCUCUGAGAGUAACAGCGGGGCAAGUAAGGGGACGAGGGAGGACGACGUCAAGGGAUUAGGCAAGAGGAGCGCAGAGUUCUAGACCUCUGGGCUAGAGAGAGCAACUUGGAAAAAGAGUCGGGGAGCAGACACCGGGGAGGCUUGGUUUCCUGGAUCAGGGGAGAGUUUUAAAGAUGGUGAAAAAAAAGUGUAGAGCGAGAAAUGAAUUUGGAACGGAAGGCGCUGUACCCUCGUGAAAUUAUUGGGGAGGGGGAGGGCAUAGGGGGGUAGGUAGAUAGGACAGUAGGGCCCAAGGGACAGAGACACCGUUUUGGGAGCUUUGUAGGUAGGACUUGAGGCUGGGAGAAGCAGUGAUUGAAGAGCUAAGGAAUGGCCUUGGAGUUUUGAGAGUGAAGGGAUACACACACACGUACAUACAUAUACAUAUAGUGACUGGGGCUGGAGUAACUUCCGGAAAGAAAAGUUAUAUCCAACCUCUGGAGACUAAAGGGAUGAGUUGAUAACUUUGGUGGGGGGUGAGUAUCUGACUUAAAGGUGGUGAGGAUCUCGGUUUUUUUGUUUCGUUUUGUUUUUUUUUUUUUUUUUGUUAUUGUUGUUGGUUUGCUUGAUUUUUGUUGCUUUGUUUGUUUUUCUCGAAUAACUUUCGCUACUUCCUCCCAGCCAGACACCGGACAGAAAUACCCCUAGAUGCUAAAGCCGGGGAGCUUCCAAGAUGUCUCUGAGUGGAGGAGGUGACCGGUGUUGGCGGUAGCUAGCAGUAGAUCUACUGUGGAGUGGCUGAAGGUCAGUAGGUAAGAUGGUGAAUUAGACCAAAGGUGAUCUCUUUUUGUCUUCCGUGGCUCUUACACGGUGUUUUACAAAAAGCUCGUUUGUGUUUUUGAAUGAGCAGUAAGAGUUCAGGUAAUUAUAAGGCUGGUCUCAUGUGAUAAUUCUAGUCUCUCCUCCUUGGGCUGCUGUUUAGGGGGUUAGGGGAAACACGGUCUCACUGUGUAGCCCUGGAACACUCUACGGCAACCAGGCCAACCUCAAAUGUAAGAGCUCACCUACGUCUAGCUCUUCAGUGCAGGGAUUUCAGGCAUGCACCUUCACAUUUGGCACUUGAACUUUGCCUGUACAGGCAUGAGGCCCAACGUGGAGAGCUAAGAAGGACUUGGUGAGGAGAAUUAAUUUUCUCAAACAACCAGCAUCUCUCUUUUUGGAGAACAUCAAAAAAUGUUUAACACUGUUUUCCUGUUGGUUUUUUUUUCCCCUCUGUAGCCUUACCACAUUUUGUUUGCACAGUGACUUUUGAUUUUAUGGUUCAAUUAAAAUUCAUCUAUCUGUGGUAGAGAUACUUGAAAGGGCAGGUUUGACAAUUUCCAUGAGUCAUUGGGUUAUCACAUCUGAUAGGGUUCUAAAUAUUUAAAUAUUCCUGUGUGUCUAGCCUUAUUUUCCUGGAAUUGACGGUGACUUUUGUCUGCAACCCAGCAUUGUCUCAGCCCUGGAGAGAGCUUCUGGAUCCUGCUUCGUGAAGGCUGCGCUUCCUAAUCGCAGUUUCUAAAGUGCUCGGAGAUUCUUCCAUUCCAGAAGUGGAUUUUAUGAGUGCUUGUUGGUAUCCCAGUGUGCAUUACAAAAGCACUCUGGAGGCCUGCCAACUGUGGCUCAGCAAUAGGCACUUUCCAUUACUUCAGGAAAGUUGUCUCCUUUUCUUACCUACUCUCUGACCUUAAACAGAAUCAAGGAAGUCAUUUUAUGGUUUAGAACAUUAUGUUUUGUUAGUUUUAACUGUUGCUUUUCACGCACCAACAUUCAUAGCUUAAAAUUGUAUUUUCUGUUGUAAGCAGACCUAACAAAAAGGAAACUGUAAACAAGGGAGUCACAGGUAAACAUGAGAACAGCUGGCCAGAUGUAAACUCAUGGGAAACUUGUCACUUAGCAGAGAAGGAAAUGGGAGCCUUUUGUCCUGCAGUGGGUUUUUCAGUGGUCUUGUUCUGUCGUCCAAGCUCACCUGCAACUCCUACUGUGUAGCCUGGAUUAGCCUGGAAUUCAUAGCAGUCCUCCUGCCUCAAUGUCCUGAGUGCUGAGAUUAUAGGCUAUGCCCUGUUUUGUAGAGUGUGUGUAUUCAUGUAUGAGUACAUAUGUGCAUGUUGUACAUGUGGAAUGUAGAGGACUACUUGCAAGAGUCAGUUCUUCUACCCUGUGGGUUCUAGGAAUUGAACUUAGUUCUUAGUUCCUAAGUUGUCAGGUUGGUAUAAGCAGCUUUACUUCUGAGGCAUCUCUGGCCCCAUGCCUUUUAAGAAAAACAUUUAUAUGUAUGCAUUUUCUGCUUGUGUGUAUGUCUGUGUUCUACAUUCAUGACCUAGAGACCCUCAGAGACAAGAAGAGAGAGUUGGUUGCCCUGGAGCUGGAGUUAAGGAUGGUUGUGAGCACCAUAAGGGUGCUGGGAACUGGACCCAGGUCCUCUGCAAGAGCAACAAAUGCUUUUAACCACUGAGCUAUCUCUCCAGGUCUGUAUGCCUCCCUGCCUGCCACAAACAAACAAACAAACACACACAUACAAAAAUAAACCAACCAAAAAACCCACUUUUUGGCCAACCUCAAGGUAAAUGGAUAAAGUUUAGGGUAGGACUUAAUGGGCUGAAAGUAAAGAUACAUUUUAGAAUGAGACAGAUUCCCUUUCUUUACAUCCUGUGUUUAUUGAAAGGGAGGAUCUCUAACUUGCUUGGAAAACUUCUCUUAGCUUAGAGUGUUUAUACCCCAUCGAGAAACCCAUUAGACAAAUACUGCAGUUCUUGGCAAGAGUAACUGGCCCAGAGUCUCCCAGCUAGUAAGUUUGCCUUCCUGAGUGGAUUGUAGCUUUUCAGCUCUGCACAUGGGUGGUGAGUUCUCGUCGUCAUUCCAUUCUAUUGUUUCUGAGAUCACUGUUACGUGGGCUUUGGUUUUUUUGUUUUUGUUUUUAAUUUUAUUUCUAUGAGUGCUUUGCCUGCUUGCAUGUCUGCCAUGUUGUGCCUGGUGCUUGAGGAUGCCACGGGAGGGUGUUGGGUCUUGUGGGACUAGAAUUAAAGACGAUUGUGACUAGCCAUGUAGGUUAUGGGAAUCCAGCCUGGCUCCUCUGGAGUGACCGAGCCAUUUCUCCCUCCCCUGUUAUGGAUUUUGUUUCUAUCUUCUAUCUAUUUUCCCCCAAACCAGGGUUAUUCUGUGUAACAGCCUUGGUUGACCUGUAACUUGCUCUGCAGACUGGCCUCGAACUCCGAAAUCUGCCUGUGUCUGCUGAGUAAAGGCAUGUGCUGGCAUGGUGCUUUGUUUUAGUCUGUGUACCUUCCAGGCACCUUUUGGGCCAAACAGACCCAUGAAAACUUAGCCACUUUUUUCCCAAUGGUUUGUGUUUGGAUAGCUGAGUUCUGAAAACCUAUACAUGACCAUUUGGAGCAGCCUUGACAGCAGCAUUGCACUCGAGAAUGUUGUUUUUGUGAGGCAUGAUCUUUUUUCUUUUCUUUCAAGAAUAAAGUCUCAGCUCCAUGAUACUAUGAUACAUUCAGCUAUGGCUUUGAAAGGCCGUACAGCCUUCAACAUACAUACAGCCUUUAAAAUAGUUUGGCAAUUCUAAAAAUCAAGCAUAGCAGUUAAGUGUGGAAAUCACUUGUCAGAGACACUCUACUCAAUCAAGUAUUACAUUUCAAAAUUAAUCUUUCACUUUAUGGGGAAAGCCAUUAUUCAUAGCUUGAAAUAUGAGUCACAGUUUAUAGAAAAUUGACAUGAGCCUUGUGGCAAUAUCCAGAACACGGAUAAGUUCAUGAUUUGGAAGUUCAAAAGGAAACUGGCCUCCUGUAAUACAACUGAGCCGUAUUUCAGGUCCGCAUUGAGGGUAUUUUCACUGUGAUAUAAUCGAUCAUAUUUAUUGAAAACCUAAUAUGUAUUCAGCAUUACUAGGAACACUAAUGGAGGAACAGUCACGGACCUGUUCUUCAGUGUGACAGACAAGAUAGAUGACAUUCAUAUAAAAGACACUCUUUCGGGUCUGUGGCUUAGAUGAGAUUUUAGGAUUAAAGGAGCAUAUUGGAAUUCAGAUGAGUGAUGGAAGCAUUUGCAAAGGGAAUCUAUCCACACUCAUCACCCACUCACAGACUUUGGUAUCUUAUUAAUCAUAAAUUGCUUACUUUACAUCAGUUGCCACAGCAUACUAGUUUGCUGUGAAGUGGCAGUUCGGAAGUGCUAUAUUUAGGAGAUUUUGCCAGUAGGAGAGACAGGAGUCAAUAACAAAAUAAGUUGGAUUUGCAUUGUCCUCAGAGCUGCUGAUGUUGAAUACUUUUAAAUGUAUUUACUGACCAGUUGUAGUUCUUCAUUUGAAUAGUAUCUGUCAUUUGUCCCUAUAAUAAAAAAUACUGAAAUAACAUUAAAAAUAUCAGUAAUUCAAGAUAGUGUAAAGUCCACGGAGUGUGCAAAUAUGUUUUAUGGACUGUUCUGUGAGUGCUUUUAUAUUCCAGGGAACUUUGUGGAGAAGUGAGAUAGCAUGUAAUAAGUAUGGGUCCCAUUUAUUAUUAUUUUUUGAAACAUGUUGGUUGUAGGGGGCUGUAGGGUUGGUUGUAGGGGGCUUAUCUAGCUUAGAGUGGCCUUGAACUCAUGAUCUUUCUGCCUCAGCUUCCUAAGUGCUAGGAUUACAGGCUUGCAUAACCGUGCCCAGCUUCAGUCUCAGUUACAAGCAGGGGAACAAACUCUGAUGGAUUUUAAUCAAAAAGGGAGUUUAUUGAAAUCAUAGUGGGGUAGGGUUUGGUAGCACAAACCUGUAAUUCCAGGGAAGAAAAUGGAGUUCUUAGCCAGCCCGGAAAACAGUGAGUUCAAGGCAUUCUGGGAUAUAUAGCAAGACUGACUGGGCAGGGUGAUUCCAGGGGAUUUGGAGGCAGAAGCAAGUGAUUUCUGAGUUCAAGGCCAUAGUGAGACACUGUCUCAAAAAGAAGGGGGGGGGGAGGAAAAAAGACUGUCUUAAAACAGACAAACCAGAAAACCAAACAACUCCUUCCCCCGAGUAGCAAUAACAAUAAAACCGGAAAACUGUAGUGGGACAUAUUAUAUAGUCUUUGAAACCAUAAUUCCAUUGUUAGAUAAAUACUCAACAUACAGGCUUACCAGUCCAUGAAAGAGUGUUUACAUCUGCCUCUGUGAUGGGAUAGUUUGGGAUCUUUCUAGCUGUCCAUCAACAAUACCACAGAUCUAUAGCAAAGGUUCACCCUGACAUCAGAAGCAGUAGACUAGAAUGAUUGAAUUGCAGUCAUACCACAGUGAAUCUCACAGGUUGAGUGGAAGGAAACAGACCUAAAAGAGAGCAUAGUAUGUUAUUCUGCCUAUACCACGCCAAGAAAAUAAGAGGCAGUAGCCAGGAUGGCAUUUUACUUUGGAAGAGGAAUAGUAGCUGAAUGGAGAAGCUAUAAGAAUUUGGGAAUAUAGUCAGCCUUUUCUGUCCUCUACAGGUUCCGUAUGCACAGAUUAAACCAGGUGUGGAUCAAAGGAUAAGAGAGAAAAAGUAUACUGAGUAUAAUGAACUUUCUUUUGUACAUUACAUUUAUUACAUUUAUGCUGUAUUAUAUAAGGGAUCCAGAGAGGUUAUAGAAGCAUGUGGAUGAAUUAUGUGCAAAUACGGUGUAUAUCAUUUUAUGUAAGGGACUAGAACAUCUGUGAACUUCAGUAUCUUCCCAGUGUCCUGAAAACUGUUCCUGUAGGUUCCAACACUGUACUUUGCAAUGUUCUGCUUCUUGGAGGAGGGUUUACACUUGCCCAUGUGAUAAAAAAAAAGCUCUGAGCUGUGUAUGUUACAUCUCAGUAACAUUUUGCUUUAAAGUGAGCAAGGGCUGGGCAUGUAGUUGUGUGGUAGCACACUUGCUCCCCAUUUCAAUCUCCUGUCCCAAAUCACAAAAUAAUGUAUAAAAAAAGGUUCGUAGUAUAUCAGUUUACUUAGACAGAGGAAGAACUCUGGUCAGGUAUACCAAAACCUAAUAUCCCAGGUCAUGCUACUGGCUUGCAUUGCUAUGAUCAAGUGAAAAUAGUUAAGCUUCUACCAUUGGCUAGCAUACCUUUUUUCUGGGUACUUGAACCUGCUCUUUUCCUUGCCCAUAGGAUGCUUUUUCUGUAGCUGGUUCCCUCCUCAGCUCUUUUACUUUUAAGUCUGAGUGGAGUUGUUAGGGACAGUUUAGCUGUAAGGGAGGUUUGGAAAGCAAGUAGUCAACAUUUCCAGUUUCUAUAGCAGCCAAUGAUGUGUGGACCAGCAGUUAGAAUCAUGUUGAAGGAUACAGUUAUUUUACCUUUACAGCCCCAAAGUAGUAGUCCUUAAGGUGAAGAUUUAAGCCAUCAGAAGGAAGUGGAUCUCAAGUGCUAGAAACAGUUGAAGUGAAGCUGAGUGCAGUGUAGCCUUUGGGCCCAGUGGAAACCAGUUCAACCGGAUUAAAGGGUGUGUUCUGGGAAAAUGGUCUGAAUGAUGGUGGAGCAAUAGGGUGGGACAAGAUUAAGGGUUACUUUGAGAGUCAGGAAUUUAAAUUUAGUUUGGAGUUUGGGAACCAGUAAAAUUAAGCCUGAAUGUUGGAGAAAGAAGUUGUAUCUGGCAGUGCUUUUUAGGGACAGCUCAGAGGGGUCUGUAGUAAUAUAAGGAUAGAGUGGUAGAUUGGGAAUAGAAGUAGGAAGAAAAUGUGAGGCCUUUGCCUUUGUAUUUCAUGGUGUGGGAUCAAGGGAGUCCUUUUGGAGGAGGAAGUAAAAAAUGAAUCUGGAUUUUGGAAUUGUUUAGUUUGAGCUGAUAAACCUAUGAGUAAAAGCAGUCCUGAUGAAGGUGGACUUGGAGAAGGAUGGCUAGGUGUGUCCGAGUCCUGGGGCAUCCCUCUGUUCUCAGUCUUGUUCCAGGAUUGGUCAAGAUUGGUAUCCUGAGUUUGGUCGAAAGGGAUACAACCCAGACUCUCUUCUUAAAGCCUUUCCUUUUCGCCAUGGCAAAUUGAUCCUGUUACUAUCUUCCUUCUUUCCUUUAAUUCUUUCUUUCCUUUAAUUCUUUCUUUCUUUCUCUAUUUAUUUGUCUAUUUAUUUAUUUUUUUGAGACAGGGUUUCUCUGUGUAGCCCUGGCUAUCCUGGAACUCACUCUGUAGACCAGGCUGGCCUCAAACUCAGAAAUCCACCUGCCUCUGCCUCCCCAGUGCUGGGAUUAAAGGCCUGUGCCACCAUGCCUGCCUGGCCUUUCCUUUAAUUCUUCUCUUCUCUUCCCUUCCCUUCUCUUCUCUUCUCUUCUCUUCUCUUCUCUUCUCUUCUCUUCUCUUCUCUUCUCUUCUCUUCUCUUCUCUUCUCUUCUUUUCUUUUCUUUAGACUGGGUUUUGCCUGUAGCCUUAGCUGUCCUGGAACUUGCUCUGUAGACCAGGCUGGCCUCGAGCUCAUAGAGCUCCACCUGCUUUGAGAACAGCUUAGGUUAACUUUUUACCCGCCUCAGCAUCUUUUUAAAUAUUUAUUUUAAUUUUAUGUGCAUGGGUACUUUUGCCUCCAUAUAUGUCUGUGAUCCAUUGUGUUCCUGGUGCCAGCCUUGGCCAGAAGAGGACAUCAGAUCUCCUAGAAUUGGCGGUAAUGUUGGUUGUGAGCCCCCAUGUGGUGUUGGGAAUCAAAGUCGGGUCCUCUGGAACAGCAUCUAGUUCUCUUAACCAUGGAGUCAUCUCUCCAGCCCAGCUUGCAUAUCCCCCCUCUUUUUCUUUCAUUCCAGUAUUUGAGAUUUAUUUUUUAAGUAUAUUAGUAUUUUGCAUGAAUGUAUGUUUGUACUUCAUGUGGGUGCCUAGUACCCGUAGAAGCCAAAAGAGGACAUGAGAUUCCCCCCAGAACUAGAAUUUUAGACAGUUGUGAGCUGCCAUGUGGUUACUGGGAAUCAAACCUCCAUCCUCUGCAAGAACAAGUGCUCUUACCCAGUCAGCCAUCUCUGCAGCCCCGUCCCUCAGUUUCUUGGAUGCUGGGGUUGUAAGUGUGCACCAUUAUGCCUGGCUUCUCAAUUACUUUCAUAAUAGUUUUGAGUGGUUUGGGUAGAAGAAGAGGAUCCUUUAUUUUUAAAUUGAUUUUAAGUAACACAUAAAACAAAAUUGUACACAGUAAAAUGAGAUGUCAUGAUUUUUGGAUGCAUGUGAAUAAUUCUAAUUUUAAAGAAUCAAACUAAACAUUGCUCCCUGGUGUUGCUCAUUUCUUUAUGGGAAAGUUUUGGAAAAAUCCUUUCCUUUUGAAGUGUGCAGUAUACUGCUGCUGUGCCGUGCAGUGUGUUGGUGUUGAAGCGUAUCAGGGUUGCUUACUCCUAAGUGUCCUAACUGUUAUUUAGUUUCUCUUGAUUGGCAUGUCUUCAUCCCUUCUCAUGUACUCUGCCCAGCUUCUUGUAGCCACGAUUUUACACUCAACUUCUAAAGACUACAGCAAAAGAGAGAUGCACACUCAUACCUGUAAUGGAUAUAGAUGCAAAACUCUUAGAACCAUAGCAAAUUGAAUGCCACAACAUAUUAAAAAGAUCAUUUAUCAUGGCUGAGGAGGCUUGACACCAGGGGUAUAAUCUGGGGAACUUUAUGCCAAGCUUUGAGAUCAAGCACAGGCAAAACAAAACUCCAGCUGGUUAGGAAUUGGAAGUUGGAGUUCUCAGCAGCACUCUACAGGUAGACUUGGAUCUGCUUGGCAGCUCCAUUUCAUGUCUAAGAAGAAAAGAAUGGUGGCAAAAACCUAUGUUCCUUAUCCAAGGUCUUUCUGAAAUGAAUCUUUGCCAAUACUUAGUCAUUAUCAGCCGCCACAAGCUUUAGCAUAGUGUUUGGGCUUGCUAAGGCAGCUAGGGCUCUGGAGCAUGAAAGGUAGCCUUUUGUGUAUGGCUUGAAAGCGGUUGCUGAGGCAUGCUGGCUUGGUAUUCCUCUUAGGAGUUUUCUCUUUAGUUUGAUAGCAUGUCUCUACCUGUAAAUGACACUGGCUUGCUUGGAUAGCAUUAAAGGGUGUGCAGUGAUCUUAACAGGAAGCAGCGUCCCCUUGGGUAAUAUAUUAGACAUUCAAGACAAUUCUCAAAAGGUUGCCAGUUAUUUAUGUUGCAGGUGAAUUUGCUGGCAUAUUUUCCCCUUCUCCAUUAAAAUAUUGACACUUUAGGGGCUUGAGUUUAAUAGGCGAUGUUGCAACAACCUUUUUUUUUUUUUUUUUUUUUUUUGGUUUUUCGAGACAGGGUUUCUCUGUGUAGCCCUGGCUGUCCUGGAAUUCACUUUGUAGACCAGGCUGGCCUCGAACUCAGAAAUCCGAGUGCCUCUGCCUCCCGAGUGCUGGGAUUAAAGGCAUGUGCCAGCACCGCCCAGCGCAACAACCUUUAAGUAAUAGAAGAUUAGAGUUAGACAAUAAGUCCCAAAGCAUUUCUGCCUGAAAGUUUCUCUCUCCAUUUACAGAAGGAGCAGGUUGAGCAUGUAGGAAGAGAUUGCGGGUCCAUGAGAACGGUUCAUCAAACUUCUUACUCAAUUCAGGUUUAAUGAGAAAUGAAGUUAUGAAUUCUGCAUUUGUAAAGAUUGACCUUUCUUAUGGAUCUACUAGGCUGCAACAACCCUUUGAGUUGUUGUUUCUCUGUUAUUGGGAUACAUGUGUUUAGAAAAGCUAAACCUGAUUACAUCAGAAUAAAAUCAUUUGGCAAGCUC